rnacentral:rRNA from 1 species
GACGAACGCUGGCGGCGUGCUUAACACAUGCAAGUCGAACGGAAAGGCCCUGCUUUUGUGGGGUGCUCGAGUGGCGAACGGGUGAGUAACACGUGAGUAACCUGCCCUUGACUUUGGGAUAACUUCAGGAAACUGGGGCUAAUACCGGAUAGGAGCUCCUGCUGCAUGGUGGGGGUUGGAAAGUUUCGGCGGUUGGGGAUGGACUCGCGGCUUAUCAGCUUGUUGGUGGGGUAGUGGCUUACCAAGGCUUUGACGGGUAGCCGGCCUGAGAGGGUGACCGGCCACAUUGGGACUGAGAUACGGCCCAGACUCCUACGGGAGGCAGCAGUGGGGAAUAUUGCACAAUGGGUGGAAGCCUGAUGCAGAAACGCCGUGUGCGGGAUGACGGCCUUCGGGUUGUAAACCGCUUUCGCUCAUGACGAAGCUUUGUGUGACGGUAGUGGGUAAAGAAGCACCGGCUAACUACGUG